GCGGACGGGUGAGUAACGCGUGGGCAACCUGCCCCAUACCGGGGGACAACAGCUGGAAACGGCUGCUAAUACCGCAUACGUUUCGGAAACCGCAUGGUUUCUGGAAGAAAACUCCGGUGGUAUGGGAUGGGCCCGCGUCUGAUUAGCUGGUUGGCGGGGUAACGGCCCACCAAGGCGACGAUCAGUAGCCGGCCUGAGAGGGUGGCCGGCCACAUUGGGACUGAGACACGGCCCAGACUCCUGCGGGAGGCAGCAGUGGGGAAUAUUGCACAAUGGGGGAAACCCUGAUGCAGCGACGCCGCGUGAGCGAGGAAGUACCUCGGUAUGUAAAGCUCUAUCAGCAGGGAAGAAAGUGACAGUACCUGACUAAGAAGCCCCGGCUAACUACGUGCCAGCAGCCGCGGUAAUACGUAGGGGGCAAGCGUUAUCCGGAUUCACUGGGCGUAAAGGGAGCGCAGGCGGCACGGCAAGUCUGAUGUGAAAACCCAGGGCUCAACCCUGGGACUGCAUUGGAAACUGCCGGGCUGGAGUGUCGGAGGGGUAAGCGGAAUUCCUAGUGUAGCGGUGAAAUGCGUAGAUAUUAGGAGGAACACCAGUGGCGAAGGCGGCUUACUGGACGACUACUGACGCUGAGGC
rnacentral:rRNA from 1 species